GUUGAACGCUGACAGAAUGCUUAACACAUGCAAGUCAACUUGUGGCGGACGGGUGAGUAACGCGUAAAGAACUUGCCUCACAGGUUGGGACAAGAUUUGGACACGAAUGCUAAUAUCUAAUACAGUGAGAGAGCGUUGCAUCCCAUUAGCUCGUUGGAGAGGUAACGGCUCACCAAGGCGAGGAUGGGUAGCCGGUCUGAGAGGGUGACCGGCCACAAAGUGCCAGGGACACGGCCCUUACGCAUACGGGAGGCAGCAGGGGGGAAUAUUUGACAACGGACCAAUGUCUGAUCCAGCAAUUCGGUUUGUACGGUAAAGUUUUCGGAAGGUAGAGUGUUUUCAGUUGGGAAGCGUUACCAACAGAAGAAGUGACGGCUAAAUACGUGCCAGCAGCCGCGGUAAUAC
rnacentral:rRNA from 1 species